rnacentral:rRNA from 1 species
UACGUAGGGUGCAAGCGUUGUCCGGAAUUACUGGGCGUAAAGAGCUCGUAGGCGGUUUGUCGCGUCGUCUGUGAAAAACCAGCAGCUCAACUGUUGGCUUGCAGGCGAUACGGGCAGACUUGAGUAUUUCAGGGGGAGACUGGAAUUCCUGGUGUAGCGGUGAAAUGCGCAGAUAUCAGGAGGAACACCGGUGGCGAAGGCGGGUCUCUGGGAAAUAACUGACGCUGAGGAGCGAAAGCGUGGGUAGCGAACAGG